rnacentral:rRNA from 1 species
GACGGUACUUGAGGAAUAAGCCACGGCUAAUUCCGUGCCAGCAGCCGCGGUAAUACGGGAGUGGCAAGCGUUAUCCGGAAUUAUUGGGCGUAAAGCGUCCGCAGGCGGCCCUGUAAGUCUGUCGUUAAAGCGUGGAGCUUAACUCCAUUUAAGCGAUGGAAACUACAGGGCUUGAGUGUGGUAGGGGCAGAGGGAAUUCCCGGUGUAGCGGUGAAAUGCGUAGAUAUCGGGAAGAACACCAGUGGCGAAGGCGCUCUGCUGGGCCAUAACUGACGCUCAUGGACGAAAGCCAGGGGAGCGAAAGGGAUUAGAUACCCCUGUAGUCCUGGCCGUAAACGAUGAACACUAGGUGUCGGGGGAAUCGACCCCCUCGGUGUCGUAGCCAACGCGUUAAGUGUUCCGCCUGGGGAGUACGCACGCAAGUGUGAAACUCAAAGGAAUUGGCGGGGGCCCGCACAAGCGGUGGAGUAUGUGGUUUAAUUCGAUGCAACGCGAAGAACCUUACCAGGGUUUGACAUCCUGCGAACCCCCUGGAAACGGGGGGGUGCCUUCGGGAACGCAGUGACAGGUGGUGCAUGGCUGUCGUCAGCUCGUGUCGUGAGAUGUUGGGUUAAGUCCCGCAACGAGCGCAACCCACGUCGUUAGUUGCCAGCAUUCAGUUGGGCACUCUAGCGUGACCGCCGGUGAUAAACCGGAGGAAGGUAUGGAUGACGUCAAGUCAUCAUGCCCCUUACAUCCUGGGCUACACACGUACUACAAUGCUACGGACAAAGGGCCGCAAGCUCGCGAGAGUUAGCAAAUCCCAUAAACCGUGGCUCAGUUCAGAUCGUAGGCUGCAACUCGCCUACGUGAAGGAGGAAUCGCUAGUAAUCGCAGGUCAGCAUACUGCGGUGAAUACGUUCCCGGGCCUUGUACACACCGCCCGUCACACCAUGGAAGUUGGCCACGCCCGAAGUCGUUACUCCAACCCUUGUGGAGGAGGACGC